rnacentral:lncRNA from 1 species
AAAACUCAUCUAUUCAAAUCCUAAUUCAUCCAAUUCAGCUUCUCAUUCAAUUUGAGAUUGUUUAUCAAAUCUAAAAUUUAUUCAAUUCAUAAAAUAUAAAUGUUUUCUACAUCCUAUGAUCUUGGAAUUUCUCACAAAUUUCGAAUGUUGAUGUGGGUUGAUAUACAAUUGGGAAGCCCUUCUAUCCAAGCACCUUGCUGCUCGAGGUCGUUGGUGAACACCACCGCUGAUACUACUUCGAAUUUCUUGUUGCUCCUGUUGACCCUCCCUCGCUGUAUCCGGGCUUUGCUAUGGCAGUUAUUCUGAACCUCCAAAACUCCAAGGCCCAAUUGAACUCCUCGCUCAUAUACUGAGUCUUGGACAAUCAAGCUGUCCAAUCAAUAUUAAGUUGCAGGGAAUAAGUUCUACCGCACAAGCAACCAAGUGCAACUUCUAGGUCUCUAUGACAAGGCCACCACCCUGUCAAGAAUCCUUCACAAUUCGCUCAGUGCCACGGGUUUUGUGACUAUACCACAAGCAAACACUAGUCCUAUUUCAAUCUACUGAGCAGUAAUGAUACUGAAGGCUUCUCCGUGCUUCCAACCUCACAUCUCUGUGCUACCAAUCUCCUAUUUGUAUUCCAAUCUGAAUGAUAAUUGUAAUCCACCCAACAAAACCAACACUCUACAAAGCUGUUAUGUGUAACGCCAAGCAACUAUGUCAACUGCACAACUACAGUCCACAUAGAAGGUGUUCUAAGUUGUUCUUUUAAAUUCUACUUAUAACAACGAUUGCUUUUAUCCUUGGAUCAAAUUCAUGUCUUGGUACAUUUUCGUUGUUGUUGCGAUAAUCAAGGGCUGAAUCCUUGCUACAUUGAACCAAGAAUGGAUGUAGAGAGCGACAGUUGCUGUACCAACUGGGUUGAAGAAUAUUACAGCGACAUGUCAUCUCGUUCAAUUCAAUUGGGGUACAACACUUUUCUGUCUCAACUUUUAUAUCCAC